UACGUAGGGGGCGAGCGUUGUCCGGAUUUAUUGGGCGUAAAGAGCUCGUAGGCGGUUUGGUAAGUCGGGUGUGAAAUCUCCACGCUCAACGUGGAGGGGCCACUCGAUACUGCCAUGACUCGAGUCCGGUAGAGGAGUGUGGAAUUCCCGAUGUAGCGGUGAAAUGCGCAGAUAUCGGGAGGAACACCCGUAGCGAAGGCGGCACUCUGGGCCGGAACUGACGCUGAGACGCGAAAGCGUGGGGAGCGAACAGG
rnacentral:rRNA from 1 species